rnacentral:lncRNA from 1 species
CCUUUAUGAAAAAAAAAAAACACUUAAGUUUUAAUGAUGAGAAUGAUACACUGCAUGUAAUUAGUGUCACUGGCCACCUGAUGGCACUGUUGCAGUAUGCAAACAUUGGGGCAAUGGCUGCAUUCUUCUUUUAGGGUCCACACACAAAACACUACAAAACCGACCAAGCACAACCAGGCAUAAAACCCCCAUAGAUACAGUGCCUAUGAAUUGAACAGCAUUCAAAAACGGGUGUAAAAACCGCACACUAGAGAAGACCGGUGUGUGCGGUCUAGAGUGGGUUUUUUUCUUUCUUUUUUGCAUUCUAACAAUUUUGGUCGGUUGCUGUUCCCCACACAUGGACCCUGGCUGGUAUGGCGGUCUAGUGACCAGAGGCCAGGCUGAAGCAUCUCUCAGAUGGGUUAACAAGCAAGACCUCCCUCCCCUCUCUGUCCUCCUCUCCUCCCUGAGGCAGACCCCUGGGUGGGGUAAUAUCCUUGCCUUCAGUCACUGAUCAGGGACCCAGUGGCAGGUUUAUGGCAUGUCCAGCAGAGAGGGAGAAAUAGAGGAGGGUGAAGAGAAUGAAUGAGUGAUCUACAGGGGAGAGGAGAGAGACAAUGGAAUAGUAUUCUGCUCUAUUUCUCCUGGUAAUGCUCUCUGUCGAUCUCUCUCUGAAAACCGUUACAUUUAUUUUAGUGUCACAUAAAAUCCUUGCAACAAAUAGAGCGCAUCAUAGUCGUCAGUGCAUGUUCAUAGCCAAUCAAAACAAUGUCCUUCCAGUAAUUUAGGUAACAUUUAAAUGUUCCUGAAACACAUGUUGCCGAUAACUUCCAUCCAGUUUGUUGCAUCUAUCCAAAAGAUGGAGUGCAGCUUUUAAGUGACGAUUACUUCAUCACACAUUUGGCUAGGUUACGCAAAAUGCUGCCACGCCAUCUUUCAUAAUAGGCUACAAUUAAAUACAUUGAGAUGCAUUCCUACCCAUAGUCUUGUCUUCACAGUGUAGCGUUCUGCUUUGAUUUAUUGUGAUGCAGUUGCAUUGACUUUUCAAGUGUGACAACGUACACGGUCACAGCAGUGUCCCGGAUUACCAUGGCAAACACCUAUAAACACACCGGUAAGGAGGCUUCCUUCAAAAGGCUUGAUCCUCAUUCCGAUCCUUAAACAUGCC